AUGGGUCAGCGACUUACGUUUAAUGGCGAGCUUAACCGUAUAGGGGAGGCGCAGCGAAAGCGAGUUCGAACAGAGCGUUCAGUCGUUAGGCGUAGACCCGAAACCAGAUGAUCUAUCCAUGGCCAGGUUGAAGGUGUGGUAACACACACUGGAGGACCGAACCGACUAGUGUUGCAAAAUUAGCGGAUGAGCUGUGGAUAGGGGUGAAAGGCUAAACAAAUCUGGAGAUAGCUGGUUCUCCCCGAAAACUAUUGAGGUAGUGCCUCGUGUAUGACUCCAGGGGGUAGAGCACUGUUAUGGCUAGGGGGACAUGGCGUCUUACCAAACCAUGGCAAACUCCGAAUACUUGGAAGUUUGAGCACGGGAGACAGAGCACCGGGUGCUAACGUCCGGACUCAAGAGGGAAACAACCCAGACCGCCGGCUAAGGUCCCUAAUAUUGACUAAGUGGAAAACGAAGUGGAAAGGCUAAGACAGUCAGGAAGUUGGCUUAGAAGCAGCCAUCCUUCAAAGAAAGCGUAAUAGCUCACUGAUCGAGUCUUUCUGCGCGGAAGAUGUAACGGGGCUAAGUCAAUAACCGAAGCCGCGGAUUCACACUUAUGUGUGAGUGGUAGGGGAGCGUUCUGUAAGCCUGCGAAGGUGACUCGUAAGGGUUGCUGGAGGUAUCAGAAGUGCGAAUGCUGACAUGAGUAACGCUAAAGCGGGUGAAAAGCCCGCUCGCCGUAAGCCCAAGGUUUCCUGCUCUACGUUCAUCGGAGCAGGGUGAGUCGGCCCCUAAGGUGAGGCUGAGAAGCGUAACUGAUGGGAACAAGGUUAAUAUUCCUUGACCACCGCUGAAUGCGAAGGGGGGACGGAGUAUUGAAGAUCAUCCGGGUGUUGGAUAUCCCGGUUUGCGAGCGUAGGAGGCUGACAGGCAAAUCCGUCAGCGAAUCUCCGAGGCAAAGCAUCGAGCUCUCUUUUGAGCGAAGUGAUUGGAUGUGCUUCCAGGAAAAGCCUCUAAGCUCCAGUUCAGCGGGACCGUACCGCAAACCGACACUGGUGGGCGAGCUGAAUAUGCUCAGGCGCUUGAGAGAACUCAGGAGAAGGAACUCGGCAAAUUGACACCGUAACUUCGGGAUAAGGUGUGCCUUUGUAGCGUGGAGGGAGAAACACUCCGAGCGCGAAGAGGUCUCAGAUAAUCGGUGGCUGCGACUGUUUAUUAAAAACACAGCACUCUGCAAAGACGAAAGUCGACGUAUAGGGUGUGAUGCCUGCCCGGUGCUGGAAGAUUAAUUGAUGGGGUGCAAGCUCCUGAUCGAAGUCCCAGUAAACGGCGGCCGUAACUAUAACGGUCCUAAGGUAGCGAAAUUCCUUGUCGGGCAAGUUCCGACCUGCACGAAUGGCAUAACGAUGGCCACACUGUCUCCUCCUGAGACUCAGUGAAGUUGAAGUGUUUGUGAUGAUGCAAUCUCCCCGCGGCUAGACGGAAAGACCCCAUGAACCUUUACUGUAGCUUUGCAUUGGACUUUGAACCGAUCUGUGUAGGAUAGGCGGGAGCCUGUGAAACCACAACGCCAGUUGUGGCGGAGGCGUCCUUGAAAUACCGCCCUGAUUUGUUUGAGGUUCUAACCUGGGACAGUCAUCCUGUCCGGGGACCGUGCAUGGUAGGCAGUUUGACUGGGGCGGUCUCCUCCUAAAGGGUAACGGAGGAGUGCGAAGGUACGCUAGGUACGGUCGGAAAUCGUGCUGAUAGUGCAAUGGCAAAAGCGUGCUUGACUGCGAGACCCACAAGUCGAGCAGAUACGAAAGUAGGUCAUAGUGAUCCGGUGGCUCUGUAUGGAAGGGCCAUCGCUCAACGGAUAAAAGGUACUCUGGGGAUAACAGGCUGAUACCGCCCAAGAGUUCAUAUCGACGGCGGUGUUUGGCACCUCGAUGUCG
rnacentral:rRNA from 1 species